AUUGAACGCUGGCGGCAGGCUUAACACAUGCAAGUCGAGGGGUAACGAGAGGAAAGCUUGCUUUCCUUGUCGACGACCGGCGCACGGGUGAGUAACGCGUAUCCAACCUGCCCCCAACUAGGGAAUAACCUUGCGAAAGUAAGACUAAUACCCUAUAAUUUCCUCAGAUGACAUCUGACGAGGAAUAAAGAUUUAUCGGUUGUGGAUGGGGAUGCGUCUGAUUAGCUUGUUGGCGGGGUAACGGCCCACCAAGGCAACGAUCAGUAGGGGUUCUGAGAGGAAGGUCCCCCACAUUGGAACUGAGACACGGUCCAAACUCCUACGGGAGGCAGCAGUGAGGAAUAUUGGUCAAUGGGCGGAAGCCUGAACCAGCCAAGUAGCGUGCAGGAUGACGGCCCUAUGGGUUGUAAACUGCUUUUAUACAGGAAUAAAGUUAGCCACGUGUGGUUAUUUGUAGGUACUGUAUGAAUAAGGACCGGCUAAUUCCGUGCCAGCAGCCGCGGUAA
rnacentral:rRNA from 1 species